rnacentral:tRNA from 1 species
CGGGAUGUGGCGCAGUUGGCUAGCGCACUACGUUAGGGACGUAGGGGUCGGGUGUUCGAGUCACCUCAUCCCGA